GACGAACGCUGGCGGCGUGCUUAACACAUGCAAGUCGAACGGAAAGGCCCUGCUUUUGUGGGGUGCUCGAGUGGCGAACGGGUGAGUAACACGUGAGUAACCUGCCCUUGACUUUGGGAUAACUUCAGGAAACUGGGGCUAAUACCGGAUAGGAGCUCCUGCUGCAUGGUGGGGGUUGGAAAGUUUCGGCGGUUGGGGAUGGACUCGCGGCUUAUCAGCUUGUUGGUGGGGUAGUGGCUUACCAAGGCGUUGACGGGUAGCCGGCCUGAGAGGGUGACCGGCCACAUUGGGUCUGAGAUACGGCCCAGACUCCUACGGGAGGCAGCAGUGGGGAAUAUUGCACAAUGGGCGGAAGCCUGAUGCAGCAACGCCGCGUGCGGGAUGACGGCCUUCGGGUUGUAAACCGCUUUCGCCUGUGACGAAGCGUGAGUGACGGUAAUGGGUAAAGAAGCACCGGCUAACUACGUG
rnacentral:rRNA from 1 species